AACAAUAACAAUACAAUAACUCUGCAACUCUCACAUGGUCGCUCACUAAAGCUAAGCAGGGCUGUGCCCGGUCAGUACCUGGAAUGGAGACUAUAUGGGAAAGGUGGGUUUCUGCUG
rnacentral:rRNA from 1 species